rnacentral:rRNA from 1 species
UACGAAGGGUGCAAGCGUUAAUCGGAAUUACUGAGCGUAAAGGGUGCGUAGGCGGUUCGUUAAGUCUGUCGUGAAAUCCCCGGGCUCAACCUGGGAAUGGCGAUGGAUACUGGCGAGCUAGAGUGUGUCAGAGGAUGGUGGAAUUCCCGGUGUAGCGGUGAAAUGCGUAGAGAUCGGGAGGAACACCAGUGGCGAAGGCGGCCUUCUGGACCAAUACUGACGCUCAUGCACGAAAGCGUGGGGAGCAAACAGG